rnacentral:tRNA from 1 species
GCCAUGGUGGCGGAAUGGUAUACGCGCGCGACUCAAAAUCGCGUUCCCGCAAGGGAUUGAGGGUUCAAGUCCCUCCCAUGGCACCA